UUGAAUUAUUUAAAAUAAAAACACUUCGAAAUUUUCGAAAUAAAAACAUUGAAUCGGCUCGAACGUUGCUGCUUUUUUAUCACACAGGGCUUGGUACGUGAACGUUUCUGCUUUUUUAUUACACAGGGCUUGGAGCGUGAAUGUUGCUGCUUUUUUAUUUCACACAGCUUGGAGUGUGAACGUUGGAGCCUAAUGCCAGCUAGGCUAGCCGUUGGGAGAUGAGCUAAAAUUAGAGGCAAUUGGGAGAUUUACACAUUUAAAGCCUCCAACAUAAGGAAAAGGAAGCCUCGAAUAAAAUCAGGGCAAGAGGAAAAAGAAGCCCCGAAUAAAAUCAGGGUAAGAGAGGGAAGAUGAUUUGUAGCAUAGAGUGGCAGUGGGACUGAGCUUUCCAUUUGAAUUGGAGUGUUUCUUCAUUCCAAAACAUUGGGCAGAAGAGGAAUUGUGGUAGGGGUUGAGCUCUGUAUUUGCAGUGGAGUGUUGCGUCAUUGGGCACAGAAGGUGCUUACAGUUGAUGGAUUGCAACAUCGAAUGAUUUAUCUCUUUGAAAAAUUUAGAAGCUAAGUCCCAGCUGAUGAUCCAAACAUGCAAUAAAAUUCUUGGUUCGUGGUUAAUGGGCUUGACAAGCAGGUUGUGAUCAGUUUGGACAAGUGAAAACUUGAACACAGAAUUCUUUGGAGGAUUUGUGCACGACGACAAGAACUUGAGCAUGAAGACUUCAAAGAAGGGAUUAACAUAUGGUAUUGUUUAAUAGUUGAAUGGAAGUACAAGAUAUGUAACAUUUCAUUUAAAUUGAAUAUUUUUGUUUAUUGUAAACAUUUCUCAACAAUAUAAUUAAUAAAGAUAUACCAUUUUUUUUAGGAGGGGUAGAAAUACCCCUCCAAAAACUCUCAAAGAUGGCCAUGGACAUCUUUGAG